rnacentral:rRNA from 1 species
UACGUAGGUGGCAAGCGUUGUCCGGAUUUACUGGGCGUAAAGGGCGCGUAGGCGGCGUGUCAAGUCAGGCGUGAAAGCCCCGGGCUCAACCUGGGAACCGCGCUUGAGACUGGCAUGCUCGAGUUCGGGAGAGGAUGGUGGAAUUCCCAGUGUAGAGGUGAAAUUCGUAGAUAUUGGGAAGAACACCGAUGGCGAAGGCAGCCAUCUGGACCGACACUGACGCUGAGGCGCGAAAGCGUGGGGAGCAAACAGG